rnacentral:rRNA from 1 species
UACAGAGGUCCCAAGCGUUGUUCGGAUUCAUUGGGCGUAAAGGGUGCGUAGGUGGCGCCGUAAGUCAGGUGUGAAAUCUCGGGGCUUAACUCCGAAACUGCAUUUGAUACUGCGGUGCUUGAGGACUGGAGAGGAGACUGGAAUUUACGGUGUAGCGGUGAAAUGCGCAGAUAUCAGGAGGAACACCGGUGGCGAAGGCGGUUCUCUGGGCAUGUCCUGACGCUGAGGAGCGAAAGUGUGGGGAGCGAACAGG